rnacentral:rRNA from 1 species
CCUCCAGGUUAAUGGUCUAAGUUAAAAGCAUUAUACAGCGAAACUGCGAAUGGCUCAUUAUAUAAGUUAUCGUUUAUUUGAUAGUACCUUACUACUUGGAUAACCGUGGUAAUUCUAGAGCUAAUACAUGCUAAAAAUCCCGACUUCGGAAGGGAUGUAUUUAUUAGAUUAAAAACCAAUGCCCUUCGGGGCUCACUGGUGAUUCAUAAUAACUUCUCGAAUCGCAUGGCCUUGCGCCGGCGAUGGUUCAUUCAAAUUUCUUCCCUAUCAACUUUCGAUGCUAGAGUAGUGUUCUAGCAUGGUUACAACGGGUAACGGAGGGUUAGGGCUCGACCCCGGAGAAGGAGCCUGAGAAACGGCUACUACAUCCAAGGAAGGCAGCAGGCGCGCAAAUUACCCAAUCCCGACACGGGGAGGUAGUGACGAUAAAUACUGAUACAGGGCUCUUUUGGGUCUUGUAAUUGGAAUGAGUACAAUUUAAAUCCCUUAACGAGGAACAAUUGGAGGGCAAGUCUGGUGCCAGCAGCCGCGGUAAUUCCAGCUCCAAUAGCGUAUAUUAAAGUUGUUGUGGUUAAAAAGCUCGUAGUAGAACCUUGGGCCUGGCUGGCCGGUCCGCCUCACCGCGUGCACUGGUCCGGCCGGGCCUUUCCCUCUGUGGAACCGCAUGCCCUUCACUGGGUGUGCCGGGGAAACAGGACUUUUACUUUGAAAAAAUUAGAGUGCUCCAGGCAGGCCUAUGCUCGAAUACAUUAGCAUGGAAUAAUAGAAUAGGACGUGUGGUUCUAUUUUGUUGGUUUCUAGGACCGCCGUAAUGAUUAAUAGGGACAGUCGGGGGCAUCAGUAUUCAAUUGUCAGAGGUGAAAUUCUUGGAUUUAUUGAAGACUAACUACUGCGAAAGCAUUUGCCAAGGAUGUUUUCAUUUAUCAGGAACGAAAGUUAGGGGAUCGAAGACGAUCAGAUACCGUCGUAGUCUUAACCAUAAACUAUGCCGACUAGGGAUCGGACGAUGUUAUUUUUUGACUCGUUCGGCACCUUACGAGAAAUCAAAGUGCUGGGCUCCAGGGGAGUAUAGACUGG